rnacentral:lncRNA from 1 species
UGUUUUUGAGUGGGAAUUGAAGGACUUGAUGAGAUUACGGAGGAAGAUUUUGGAUUUAACGCCGGCGGAGACAGCGACGGAGGCGAUGGCGGCGUUGAUGGAAGACGAGGAGUUGCGACGGGGUUUGGGUGGUGGAUAAGGGGGACGGACGGCGGUGGAAACGUAUCGGGUAAUCGCGGGCUGCGCAGGUGAGAAUACGGCUGCGGCGGUGAAUACGGCGGCGAGAUUGCGGAGGAAUAGAAGAAAGAGAUUUGGGGGUGGUUACGAAAUUAAAG